UACGUAGGUGGCAAGCGUUGUCCGGAUUUACUGGGCGUAAAGAGCGCGCAGGCGGUCGUACAAGUCGCGUGUGAAAGCCCCCGGCUCAACUGGGGAGGGUCACGCGAUACUGUUCGACUCGAAGGCAGGAGAGGGAAGCGGAAUUCCCGGUGUAGUGGUGAAAUGCGCAGAUAUCAGGAGGAACACCGGUGGCGAAGGCGGGUCUCUGGGCCGAUACUGACGCUGAGGAGCGAAAGCGUGGGGAGCGAACAGG
rnacentral:rRNA from 1 species